CCCUAGUGUCUUAAACAUACACAGAACUCGUCUGCCUCUCUAUUCACGACUCAAGAAUUUUGUUUUCUCAAAUCGAGUUUGUUGCGAGUUUGUUGGCUUGUGUAUCGCAGGUCUACCCAGUUUUCGACCUCCCUCAAUUGCGAAUCCCAAGUAUGCCUCCUCUUCUGUGUUGAAACAAGUGCUAUAAGGAAGGAACGGGAGCAAACGCCUAGAUCUUUGUGCCCCUCUUUAGGGAUUUCUGAAAAUGAGGUGGGAUCUUUCCAUAAGAAUGCAGUUUAUGCUAAUCAACGUAUGCAAACUCCUAAAAGCACAAGAUCGAAUUUUACCAUGUCUUCUAAUUAAGAAAUGCGAACAAUGGAUAAAAACUCAUUGGUUCUUAAGAAAGAGCAUAUGCGGACCAAUAUUUUAUUGUCUCCAUCUAGUGAUCAAGCUAUGAAAAACUCUCAAACAGUUGAAACAGGUAUGACAUUUUGAAUCCAUGUGUUAUUAAUUUGUAAAACUAAAUUUUGUUGCUAUAGUUUUACCAAAUUAUCCAACUAUAGGUUCAUCUAAUCCUGAAAAGGUAAAAAGAGUUUGAGGUAGGAACAAGCGCAAAGAAGUUGCAUCACUUGAAGUCGGACAAAAGCUGAAAGUAACCUUUUACAACAAUCGAACGAUUGGAACAAAUAACAAACUAUUUUCGAGGCACUUGGGUAGAAUAGUUUGUGACCGCAAUAUGUGUCCGCUGGGAGUAUCAUCAUGAAAUGAUAUUAAGCAAGAAAAGUUGAAUCACAUGUGGGUAGCUAUUGGGGUACAAUUGCGACAUGCUCUUUUUGUCCCUAGCAAUAUUGGAUAUGGUCCAGCAUGCCUCUUUCGUGAUGCUCUUUUUGUGAUUUAGCUUGAUCAGUGAGGUGUUGCAAACCUUGUGGAAAUAGAAAUGCAACUCUGUUUCAAGGCAAUAUAAAACAAAGUUGGUUUAUUUGUUUUUUCAAAUUAUUUCUGUUUAUGCUAGUAAUGACACUGUUGUCAAUGUAUACAACCAUAUGGAGGCAAUAUAGAAUUUUGAUAGGAGAAGAAGCAAGUCAACAUGCUAGGGGUCAAUCCAAAUUCAUGUUCUAGUGAUGUGGACAGAGAAUGCGGACAUAUUGUUGACGUGACAUACACAAUGACCUCUGUACAUGUGGCGUGUGAAGUUACGCUCCAGUUUGUGAUAGGGACAGAGAUGCCAAAUGUAGGCACAAUGACCUCCGUACAUGUGGCGUGUGAAGUUAUGCUCCAGUUAGUGAUAGGGACAGAGAUGCCAAAUGUGGGCGCAUGCACCAGGGAACGGUGUGCUCUUUGGAUAACUAUGUUAGUCCUUUCGAGAUGAAACUCCUAUGUCAGUUUACCGAUUUGGUGAUGAUACUAAAAUAAAUUUUGAGACUAUGAAUGAACUUCUUCUUAAACUUGCACAAUGAACUGCUUCUUGAACAGUGCAUUAACUAAAUGGAUAUUUUGAUUAUUGUAGGAUAAAUUUGAGAGUGUUGACAUGAAUGAUCAUCGUGAUCAUAUCUUGAGAUGAAAGAAAUGAAGAAAAUAAGGAAAUUUUUCGCUGCUCAACAAUCACAUGUCUCGCCUACGACAUCGCUAAGCUGAAUGAUGACUUUUUUCGGCUGAUCAACACUUUUGAUGUUGUUGUUGGAUAACACCUGAUGAAUUUACACUGCUUUUGGGGUUUUGAAGAUUGAAGCUACAAGUCAAGAUGAAAGUUUAGAAGGAACACAACCUUAUUAUUAUUUUGCUAGGAAUGUUAUGUAAAACAUGAUAUCAUAAUCUAGCUUAGGAUGUUAGCUAAGUUUUUUUGUUAAGGUGUUGAGCAAAUAUUGAAACUAUAUAACAUCAUGGGAUGUUAACUCUGUAAUUAAUAGCUUUUUAUAUA